rnacentral:lncRNA from 1 species
GCCAUACUCGUCCUAAAGCUACAGGUGACUUUCCAGGUGUGGCUGAGGUUCUCUGUCUUCUGUCUUUCUAUUAUGGAUACUUUAUGAGUGAGGUUUUAGGUAACUGUGUUGGUUUCUUGGCAGAAGCAGAAAUUAUUCCAGGAAUCAUGAUUCUAUUGCCCCUCGAUAAUCUUUCUGUUUCCAAGACACAAGUUCUUAGAGUUAUGAUUCCUAAGUGGUCCCAAUUCAUUCCAACUCUUCUGACAGAGGCAAGACUGUAUAUCUCUGGCCUGAAUUCCAGAAUUAGGAUAAAAAUCGACUUUCUCCACAGAAGUGCUGCUUUUUCUCAUGAAACACACUAUAAACAAAAAAGAGAUUCAAAUGAGCAUUUAGGACAAGUGCCAGAAAAGAUUCUGGAUCCCAUCCAGAGUGCCUCCAAAAGACUAGCUAAUUCCGGGCAGGAGGAAAAGGGAGAAAGAAGGACGGUGUUUCAAACAGGAAACAAAGGGUGGACAAGAGGGAUGAGAAGUCCAAAGGAGGAAGGAGACAGAGAACCUCUAUCACAGGUGAGACAAAAGUGAAGAAGGGCCUUUGUAGCUGGGCUAUCGUCCAGCAUGGAACAUCCUCCAUUCUCCCAUGAGGCCCCUCUCCUG